UUUCAAUUCCGCGUAGAUGUUUCUCUUUUUUUUACAUGAGCUAGGGACGAAACGUUAGGUUUGAAUAUAUUUCUGUAACCGCCGUUCAUUCCAUGUGACAAAAUCUAUCGUUCGAGGCGAACGCCGUUACAUGUAGAAGAAAAACUCGAGCAAACGAAAGAAAAUUAGAACUUCCGUACGAACAAUGGCCAACGAGUGUCUGCAGCUUCUUUCUGCUCCGAGCGUAUCAUCAUUUCCUUCAUUCACCGCGCUGACGAAAGUCGUUCCCGUAGACUUUUCGAUGGUUCCCUACGUUUUGACGGAUAUUGCCGAGGAUGGGAAGAGGGAAAAAAAAUUUUCUGAAUAAGUAAGAUCUUCUUUCCGAAAAUCCUGCAAAAACUGGGUCGUGCGUCAAGGAGUGGAUCAGAACCGUCGGCUACUUAAUUACAUGGAUCGUGGACUGAACUUGAGGAACCUAAUCAAAAAGUGGAAAACCAAGAAAGGUAUAGCAAACGAAUACGGAAAAGAAGUAUAGGAGCAGUCAAAAAUUUCGAUGAAAUACGUGGAAACCGAAUGAUUCAUCCGCCCAACUUCGAAUGCGGAUUCCAUCACAGUCGAGAUUCUAUUCGUGAUCGAUUCAAGCCCGGAUAGAAAUUGUAUUGUUACGACGAGAAGAGUUACUCCAAGGACGAGCCGCAGAUAGACCCGAAUAAUUUCAUUCUUAGGAGGCAGCUGACUCACUCAGGUAAUGGUCUGUAUUAUCAACCGUAUUUGCUGGUGGCAAUUAUGGACGUAUGAUAACCGGGAUUCGACCACCGCCGUACAACCCUCCAACUGAAGUGUAUUUUAACCGAGUAAAUCUGCUUCUUAUCUGUCGCGUAGUUCACUUGCUUAUUGAUUUACAACGAGGAUUAUCGGGCCAAGCCAAGGUUUCAGACAGCCCAGGGGCCCUGAAAAAACCCACCUCUCGGACAAGAGCGUUUUAUAACGUUGAAAGAUAAAUUAUGGGCUCUUAAAUCGAUUUUGUUCCACAUCGCGUACACGUCUAAAACACGAGCAGAAAUGCGCCCGGCUAAUGUCACAGCUAAUGCUCUCCUUCCUUUCGACUCGUUCUUCCAUAACUCCGCAGAUUAAUUUUUAUAAAACCGAAAUGUCAUUUUAUCCGUCGUAAUUUCCAUUGAUUGGGCAGGAAACGGAUGAGAAAUGACGAGCCAUUCGGCUGUCCAGCCAACUUUGAUAAAAGUAAAAAAGAGAACUGUUCGAAGCCAGCAGAGUUAACUCGAUUCGGAUGGUGAUCAAUUAUCACGAUAGGUGCACGGUAGCGUUUAGCUUUUCAACGUUGAUAAAGAAAUAUAAAAACUUGUCAUCCUCCGUCAUGCACCGUCAUGCACCGUCUGCACUUCGUUAUACCUACGUUGAGAUGACUCGUACGUUAACGGUCGAUCGGAAUCCUAUAGCUUUGGAUAAUGGGGGUCCAACAUAGAUCGCCGUUCUGUGAGUUCGUUGCUUCGCUGCGCGAUAGACGGCGGACCAACUCAUCGUUUGCAUGAAUAUUUGCAGGGCUGUUAUGAGCGGAUCUAGAUCGCUUAUAUCGCUUAUCGGCGAUACUCGUAGGACUGUCGCACCUCAUGUAUUUCAUAUUGAAACAUUCUACCGUGUGAACAAUGUGCACCACGGUUGUUAGAACAAUGUAUCAUGUAGGAAAGAGAAAAUUGAAUUUUUUCACGCCAUUCCGCAAGCUCCUGAUUUCCAAGUGAUAUAUCCAGCGCUUUGGAAAGACUCGUACGUACGUGAUCGUCGCGCCAACUGCGCUGGAAGUAUGUGAUUCUCGUUUUUUUUUUCUUUUGCUCUUCGAGACAAGAGAACACUGACUGAUAUUCGACAAAUACGGCAACCGUCGUUAUAAUCCGUGCGACAAGAAGAGACGUAAAUUACUUUGUGAGAGUGAAGAAAUGUGAGGACGACUACGAAGCCUUCUGCACUCCCAAGGUGUCUUAGUCGGUACGAAAUAAGAGAUAUUAACGAGUCUAUUCGACUUCGGAUGAUUCUGAUGACGCUUUCACAGAGUGAAUUCGGAAUGACUGUACGUGCUAUUAAGGAAACUCCUGAAGGAGUUGAAUCUCCGAUACGUAUAUCGAAGGAUUGAGUCGAGUGAUCGGAGCGAGGUCACGUAAUUAAUUUAAUAAGGAAAACGAUAAAAUCGGGGCUAGGUUUAGGAUCGUAUUAUACAGCCCCGAACGGGAAUCUUCUUAGCUUUAUCCCCUUGGCAGGUAAAAGACGUAGCGUGAGAGUAAAUGAAACGAACGGAUAUGAGAUAUAUAUGUAUAUUUUUUUUUUUUUGUUUCUGUCUUUCCUUUUUUUUUCAUUAUGGUCUCAAGCAAGAGUAAAGGGAAUUGACUAUCGUCGUGAGAUAAUCUGAUUCUUACUCUCAGUAAAAGUAAAUUGCUUCGCGCCGUAUAAAUCUAGAUGUGUCCAGCGAUUGGUCUUCUCAAUACUACAGUAACUCGAUUCCACGAAUAGAGAUAUAUAUGUACUCUCUCGCGAGAACCAGAGUUCUGAGAAAUAAUCCAAAUAGGAAUUUGCGCAUAGCAACGGAGAACUAUGUACGAGCUAUAUCCGAUAUAUAUAGUGUCGCCUGGAAAUUUUUGUCAAUUGAAAUUGACCCUGGAUAAGAUUCAUUCACACGUGCAGGGGCAUCGAAUCAUUCGGGGUGAGUCGUACUCGUAAACACGUUACUGCGAUGUAAAAGUAAAAGAAAAAAAAUAAAUAAAUAAUAUUUGUUGAUAAUUCUGCUGUGAUUUUGAAGUUCAAAACUUUUACUACCGGGAGCAAAGUUUAUCCAUCAAUCUCAGAAUAGCGCUCGCCUUCGCCUCGGUAUUUCUGGGCUCGCAUAGUUUUUUCGCUAUUUUAUUUUUAUUCUUUCCUAUCUCAGAUUUCUCGAAACCAUAGUGUAAUAGCAUAAAAUCUUUUGUAUUUCUAAGGAUCAAUUUCUCUUCAUUUGAUGCAACUAAUUUUUAUAAAAGGAAUAAAAUUCCGAAGUUUGUGAAUCAGGAAAUACGAAUACAUAGAGUAGAUGUUGAAAAACAAGAAAAAAAAAAAAAAAACAUCGCAUCCGAAAGAUAGUUUACCAAAGUUGUCCCACUUGUUUAGAAUGGUAGGUGUACACGGUAUAAGCUUCUAAUCCAAGAAGCUACGCGGUAUGCGAAUUGCAUAUUGCAUUUUCCCUCUGCCUGUCGCCACCCGAAACCACCCGAUUAUGUAUGACAAACCACCACACAACAUCGCGUAUGCGGUUGCUCCGUUAAUACCCAGCCUUGAUGUCAGCAGAACUGAAGGAGUUUACGUAUAGCAUUUCACUCGAAGAACAAUGAAAGCAGGUACUCGCAAUACGCUUUUUUCGUUCCUUGCACUAGCUGAUGAGAAAAAGAAAAAAAAAAGAAAAAAAGAGAAAAAUCAAAAACACCGAAUCACAUUUCGAGCAACGAACGGAGCUCGGUCGAUCAAUUUCGUACUAUCUCGCGCAUUCGCGUUCGUUUAUUCAUUCGUCUAACCAUUGAAAACUGAAUGGGUGACUGGCAUCAUUAGCGUAUUGUAUAAUUAUAUACACGAAUAGCGCCGACGUCGAACGAGCUUUAAAAGCUACAAAAUAUCGCGAAUGACUUGAUCGAGGUUCGAAAAUUGAUGACCAACCGCACGCCGGCAGAACUUCCAAAUCAUGAAUUAGCGAAAAAGUGAAAAUCCAUACUCGGAUCAGAGAAUUAAUUGAAAUUUAUUUGGAGGUAAAAUUACUCAACAUAACGUUCAUUGAUUACACCUGUGCGACGAUACAUCCUCUGGAAUAAAAGGAGCGUAACCGACGAUGAACCAUUAGUAUUUGUCUGAAGGAAUUUGCAACAAUGCCGUUUCCUUCUCUCGACGUUUCAUUUUUUAUCUCUUUCUGUUAUUCUGUUAUUUGCUAUAACUAAUAAAAGUUGUUUUUCGAGUAGUUGGAGACAUCCGACAGUCGUUCUUAAUGCGAAAGAAGAAAAUUUCCACCGAUAAAUGAAACGCUCGUAAGUGAGACUGUGACGCGAUAUCGUUGGACUCGAUGGUAGUCGAUUAGCGUAACGAAUAUAGCACGGGCAUUUCCAUCGAAAGGUACGUCGUAGUGGCGAUCGUUUUCUACCUGCAGUUAUUCGUGUUCGUAUUCACCCUCCAAAUAAUACGAAAAAGUGCGAACGACGAUCACGACUGGCGGUCGCCUGCGAAGGGACAGCCCUACUACUACAACCUUGUACGAGCCUGCAGUGAACUCUGCAUGGGCGCAGCUAUGGAUUGAACUCACAACACCCAUAUUCCUAAUUUUUAUCCUCCAUCCUAUUUAUCUGUACUUUUCAAAGGUCGACUAUCCCGCGAGAUUUUAUUUUCGAGAGAAGAAGAAAAAAAAAAAACAAUUUCAUAAUCCUUUCCUUUGAAGUCCCCCAAAAGAUUUGGUAGGAUAUCGAGUGAUGGGACACAAUAUAGGUGCCUAGAUACAUAAAUGUGGUGGGCAAAAGAUCGCGGUCGCACACCAGAGGAGAUUCAUAAGUUCAACGAAAUGGUUGAGUAGGGGGGUUCGUAUAGUGACAGACGGCGUACGACGUCGGUUUCGUGACACGUGGCUGCCUGAGAAGCUCGAUGAGUAAGCUUUGGCAGUACCGCCCUGAAAGAAACUACGACGUCUUAUUGCCUUCGCUAAGUAAGUCCUUUUCAGAAAAUUGCUGUAGCAACACUUCCCAGUCUCUCGUGAGAUGAGGCAAAAAAAAAGGAAUCUCGACUAUAAGUAGCAAGGGGAAAAGCAACGAAAAUUUCAUAAAUACAAAAAAAAAAAAAUGGAAGAUGACAUACGACGGAGAGAAAAGAGCGACAAAAUGUUCAACGGAUUUCGAUGUAAUAUUGACGCGAAAAUUAGAAAAAAUUUGAAAUAAAAACAGGAAAGGUAUGAGAAAAAAAAAAUAAUUUCACAUCGCAUAAAAGAGCAAGAGCGGCGGGGGCAAACCGAGCGAAAUAAACAGACGCCGAAGAAACGCGGCAGGCACGAACGUGCAAGAUUGUAAGAUGUGCCCCUUGUAAGGUAAGCGUGAGAAGCCAGAAAUGUAGCUUCAGAAGCCAAAGGAAACUCUGUGCUGUAUAGCGAAAACGUUCCAAACCAAGUCUUGUGUGCCAUGAGCUUUCACCGUAUUCCGUCGCCUCUUGCCUUGGCAACCAACCUGGUGAUAUUUUACAUCCCAGUAAACGCCCGUUCCUUUCAACCCCGCGGACCCCCUCCCAAUACCUUCGCCCUCGGCUUCUGCUAACGCCGGCGAAGCUGCCCGCAACGAAUAAAAUGGGGUAUACGUUGAAUGUACGAGGCGAGUAGAAAAAUCAUUACGGCUGAUGACACCUGCUUAAUCAAAUAUCCCCAAAAUUUUUUCAGAUAGUCACGCCACCCGAGGUGAUACAACUUUCAUUUUAUCUUUGUUCCGAAUUUAUACUCAUCUGAAGAAAAAUAUCCGCGCAUCCGAACCGUUUAAUCUCAAAAUACGAGACAGCGCAGGGAGAGUUUCGGACAAAUACAAUUUAAGAUAUUAGCUAUGUAUUUCGCGUAAAACGUAGCUCGUGGAAAAUGAAAAAAUUCUACUUCUCGAAUAUCGUAAGUUAUGCGGUGAAAAUAUUCCCCCUUACCGUGCAAAAAAAAAAAAAAAAAGAAAAAGUGAACGAAAAUUGAGGAUGGGGUGGUUUUGAAUCUCAUAGAAAAUUUUCACGUUCGGUUUAUGUUAACGUAUCCCCCGUGAUCUCGGUAUACCUAGGGGAUAGAUACAUGUACGUGAGUUACUUGUUUGAAUCGGAUUUAAAUCAAUGUCCAGUCGAAGCGUGGAGCACUGUAAGGUUUAUCGGCCUAGCUAUACACGUGUACCGAAAACCCAUCCUAGAAUUUCCUGCGAGAGCGUCGGGAAUUGCUGUCUAGACUCAAGACAAUGCGGCUGUUUUAUUUAUUCAAAUUUAUAUCGAGGCACUAGCCAGCCGGCUCCGGGCUUUUCAGCUUCCUUGUUUCUUCCCGCCAGAGACCCUUUCCCGCAGAACUCCGGUAUACGUAUACCACACUUAAGACUAAAACGGGACCAGCCACACCAGCUGCCAGAGAAACUGAGCGCUGAGUUUCUUAGACAUUGUGGCGGCGUAUCCCUAUACGUACCUGUAUGUAAGGUUACAGUUGGGUCGAGAUGAAAUUCGGUCCAGGGGUACCGCCAGCCAGCUCGCAGGGCGUCUUCGGGGAUUCUGAAAUAUGAUUCCGUAACGUUAUUCCCAUAAAAUACUAGCAAAGGCUCGGCUAUACAUCCGUUCACCGGAGGAGCUCGUUCAGUUCCUCCACCUGGUCGGUAGAUACUCGUAAGGUAUGAACAUACAUUCCUACUUUAUAUGUACAUAGGACAUACGUAUACGCUGCGCACAUACACACGGUAUUAUGUUUCACCGUCACGGUGUCGGCGUACCAAGGCGUCACGUAACGCCAUUUUCAUUCGGUAUAGGUCUAGUCUACGUUUUGCAAAAAGGAAAUGCAUCCUAAGAUUUAUAUUAUAUUCAUUUUUCAUAAUUUUCGCCGAUUUUCGCAGUGAUUCAAUGUCUCGGCUAUCAAAAGGACGCCCACGAUUGAAAGUACUCGAAUAAACUAUUCGCACCGUUCGUGUCGGGUAUGGCUGUACAGAUAUUUGUUUUGCCAUUUUCGAUUUUGUUUGUUUUUUUUUUUGUUUGUUUUUUUUUUCUCAUUUAAUCCCUUCCGUUUGUUUGAGCGUCGUGAAAUUUCAGGCAUCUCAUCUCGUCGGAUUCCAUUCGAUUGAAUUCCGUUCUAUUUCAGAGUAAAAGACAACGCUAUGUCAAAUCGGUUUAUCCAAUUUCCAUAGAUGUCGGGUGGGAAGAUGUCUUAUAAGAGAUUACCUUUGACGUGUGUCCUUUUUUUUCUCGCGCUGGCCGAGAGCUGGAUUACGUAUUACUGAGCCGUCCUGUAGCAUUUGCUUUCUACAUCGUCUGAUAAUAAAAAAUCAUUCAUAUUCU